GUAAGAUAACUCUUAUAAUUUCUUUUUAAUACUCAUCAUUGCUAUAAUAGAUACCUAUGGAGAAGUCAUUCUUCACCUUCUUCUCCUAGGAGAUGCUAAAGAAGAAAUACAAAUCAGAUCUUGGAUUAAUUGACUAUCUAUGAUAUUGACUUAAUCGCAUGAUUAAGUUAAUCUGGAUACACUUGACAGUCAUACUAUCACCCCCACC
rnacentral:lncRNA from 1 species